UUGCCUUGGCGCGGGCUACCAUGCAGUCGAGCGGUAACAGAUCCAGCUUGCUGGAUGCUGACGAGCGGCGGACGGGUGAGUAAUGCAUAGGAAUCUGCCCGAUAGUGGGGGAUAACCUGGGGAAACCCAGGCUAAUACCGCAUACGUCCUACGGGAGAAAGGGGGCUCCGGCUCCCGCUAUGGGAUGAGCCUAUGUCGGAUUAGCUAGUUGGUGAGGUAACGGCUCACCAAGGCCACGAUCCGUAGCUGGUCUGAGAGGAUGAUCAGCCACAUCGGGACUGAGACACGGCCCGAACUCCUACGGGAGGCAGCAGUGGGGAAUAUUGGACAAUGGGGGAAACCCUGAUCCAGCCAUGCCGCGUGUGUGAAGAAGGCCCUCGGGUUGUAAAGCACUUUCAGCGAGGAAGAACGCCUAGCGGUUAAUACCCGCUAGGAAAGACAUCACUCGCAGAAGAAGCACCGGCUAACUCCGUGCCAGCAGCCGCGGUAAUACGGAGGGUGCAAGCGUUAAUCGGAAUUACUGGGCGUAAAGCGCGCGUAGGUGGCUUGAUAAGCCGGUUGUGAAAGCCCCGGGCUCAACCUGGGAACGGCAUCCGGAACUGUCAAGCUAGAGUGCAGGAGAGGAAGGUAGAAUUCCCGGUGUAGCGGUGAAAUGCGUAGAGAUCGGGAGGAAUACCAGUGGCGAAGGCGGCCUUCUGGACUGACACUGACACUGAGGUGCGAAAGCGUGGGUAGCAAACAGGAUUAGAUACCUUGGUAGUCA
rnacentral:rRNA from 1 species